rnacentral:rRNA from 1 species
AGAGUUUGAUCAUGGCUCAGGAUGAACGCUGGCGGCGUGCCUAACACAUGCAAGUCGAGCGAUUCUCUUCGGAGAAGAGCGGCGGACGGGUGAGUAACGCUGGGUAACCUGCCCUGUACACACGGAUAACAUACCGAAAGGUAUGCUAAUACGAGAUAAUAUACUUUUAUCGCAUGGUAGAAGUAUCAAAGCUCCGGCGGUACAGGAUGGACCCGCGUCUGAUUAGCUAGUUGGUAAGGUAACGGCUUACCAAGGCGACGAUCAGUAGCCGACCUGAGAGAGUGAUCGGCCACAUCGGAACUGAGACACGGUCCAAACUCCUACGGGAGGCAGCAGUGGGGAAUAUUGCACAAUGGGCGAAAGCCUGAUGCAGCAACGCCGCGUGAGCGAUGAAGGCCUUCGGGUCGUAAAGCUCUGUCCUCAAGGAAGAUAAUGACGGUACUUGAGGAGGAAGCCCCGGCUAACUACGUG